rnacentral:lncRNA from 1 species
CCCAAUGAUAACUCAUACUUGAUGAGCCUUGAUGGAGAAAUGAAAGUCCAGUUAAAAUUAUUCAAAAUGCAUAUCCACUCGCCAAGAACAUAUGCACCCAGAAAUCUCCUUAAAUAAAUAAGGUUUUAACAAGGUGAAUGCUUUGCUUUUUCUUUUUUUGGGAAGAACUUCAAAGUAAACAAAGGUAAGACUGUUGGGUUUUGAUGUUUACCUUGUGUGGGAGAAAUAUGAUGUUUACCCAGAAAUCACAUUUUUGUUUUCAGAAUAAAUGGUUUUUUCCACCUCUGCAUUUGACAUUGAAAAAACUUGAAUAAAUACCAAAUAAUUAAGAAAUGCUGCUGAUUUAAUUUACAAAGGAAUGGUGCAUGUGAAGAGAAAUUGACAUAUGACAAUCACAUUCAGCACAAUCAAUUCUCAUCCUAAUUUAGAAGACUAAUCAAACUAACUGCAGCAAUAACAUCUUUUCCACGAAGUCUACUAACUUCUGCACAUAGAGUCAAAAUUAAUCCGUUAUAUCCAUGAAAAGAAUGAAGGCAGAAUUACAUUAAAAAAUGAAUAAAAAUGAUGGUUAAAAGAAUGACCUGCCAAUGCAUUUAAAAUCUCUUUGAAUUUGUUUCCCACAUCCCAAUUUAUUAGAAUUUCAGGUGAGUAAAAAAAGAAAAAAAUGAUUCCUCUAGCUUGAUGAGCCUGUAUAUGUGGGAAAAAAGUGUUAAAAUAUUAUCAUAAAGCAAACAAAUUCUCAAUUACACAAAAAAUAAAAGAAAGAAAAGGUACGCUGUAUAUUGAUCUUGAUUGUAAAGAAAUAAUGACAAAAGGAUACUUACAACUCAAAGGUAAUACACUGCUCAUUUUGGAAGAAACACAUCCAACACUUCAAAACUUAUCCUUCAUUGAUCUGUGUAAAUAGAAUCAUAGAGUGAAGAUUUUCUCAUGUAAGUUUAGUUUGCAAAUUGGAGAGAAAAAGGACCAACUUACCGAAGCUUCAUCAUCCAGUAGAUAGCGGCCCUCUCUUUGAAUUCUUUGGUUAUCAACUUCAAUAUUUGGGAUGUGAGAAAUGAAAGCCCAAUCCGCACCCUUUCUAUUUCCACAUCUUUCCUUCAAUUGGGGACAGUCAUCGAUAUCCAAUUCUCGUAACGAGGUGAGGGAACGCAUCUCUUGAGGCAGACACUUUAUUGCCGGACAAAUCUCAAUGGUUAGUCUUUGAAGACAAGUGAGAUUCCGCAGUCCAUCUGGAGGUAGAGAUUCGAGCUCUUUAAUGUCCCUAAUCCAAAGGUUCUUCAAUUUAGAGAGAGGAGGAAUGAUUGAGGAAGAAGAAGAGAUUGAUGGUGUGAAUAUUUGGUGCACAAGUUGUGGGCUUGCGUGCAGCAAAUGUAGUGAAUCAUCGAGAGAUGGAAACUGAGGGAUGGACUUCAAAUUAGGGCAGUCCUCACAAACGAAAUAUGAAAGACAAGGAAAUUGGAGUAGCUCAAGAGCUGUCGAAUCAUCCUCCUUCUUCUUCUGCCAUCCUUUAAGCUUAGGACAACCAUAUAGCACGAGAGUCUUUAGGGAUGGAAAGAAUGAUGUUGGUUGUCCCUCAAUCUCCAUGUAUUCUAAAUCAUCUACUCCCCAAAUCUCUAGAUAUUGAAGAGAAGGGAUUUGAUCCAUUGGUGGGAGAUGCUGAUAUCUCUUGCAAUUCCAUAUACAGAGAUAGACAAGAUUCGUGAGGGAAGAGAACCAACUUGGGAACCUCCUGCCUCCAUAGCCAAACACAAGUAACUCUUUAAGAUUGGGAUGUGGUUGGAGAUUUUGGAAUGCCAUUUCAUCUCUAUCAACAUUUGAAUCUUCCCAACUCUCCUCCCAACGUAGUUUCAAUGAUUGAAGGAGUGGCUUCUCUUUCAAAUUAACAUUUACAAUCUCAUCAUCCACACAUCCCAGAUUUCUAAUUUCAAGACGUCCCCUCAAAUUGUUAAGCUUAUUCAAUUCAUUUAUUUUUCCAACAUCCUUUGAGGAAAUAUGCCCUUUUCCCACUACGAACAGUGACAACGUCUGAAGUGAAGUCAACUGCCCAAGCCCACGUGGCAUAUGAGUCAAAGAGUUACAACCUUCACAAUAUAAAUGCCUAAGAUUCACAAGCUUUUUAAUAUCUUUAGGCAAUUCUUUGAGCUCGUCACAAUAAGAGACAUCUAAUACUUGUAAAUUCAGCAAAUCCGUAAUAGAAUUUGAAAGUGCUUUAAGUUUCUCGUUAUCGGAAACGUCAAGAUAUCUUAGAUAUUUUAGCAUUUUUAUAGAAUUAUCCAUUAUUCUAUAUGAAUGCAUAGUAAAUACACGCAAAAAUUUUAAAUUUUUAUAAAUAAAUAGCUGAUCGACAUUAUGUUCCUCAGACAAAAGAAUCGAUCGUACUCUUUUUGCAUUGUUAAGAAUUUCUUGUGGUGCAACAACUAAAUUCAAUGCUACAUGAUGGGUUUUCUCAUCAAUAUUUGGUGCAUCAGAAUUUACUAGCUGAAUCCUCUUUCCACCCACUGUGGUUGCGAGAUCGUGCAUUAAAUCAUGCAUUUUACAGCUUUCUACAUUUCCACAUCUAUCUCUUUCCACCUCUUGAAAAAAUGACCUCCACCACAGUUUCAUAAAAUAUUCAAGCCCAAUAUCUUCAAGACAAUCACUCGUACUUGGUGAUUCAAUAAACCCUUGUGCAAUCCAAAGAUGGAUUAAUGUUUUCACAUCAAUCACAUAAUCUUUUGGAUAUAUUGCGCAAUAUGCAAAACAAUGCUUCAAAUGUGAUGGGAGAUGAUCAUAACUUAGCUUCAGUGUUGGCAUAAUAUCAUUACCAUCUUGACUUAUUCUUGAGAGUUCUUUUGUUAAAAAGGGCAACCACUCAGUUUCUGGAUUUUUCGCAUACAAGAGACUUGCUAUAGUUUUUAUUGCAAGUGGAACUCCAUGACAUUUCUUCAAAAUCUCCUUUCCCAUCUCUCUUACAUUUGCAUGUUUUGGCUCCUGCCCCUUAAGUGCUACAUGCAAAAACAAAGACCAAGACUCAUCCAGAGACAACCCUUCCAAAACAUGUGGUGCUGUUGUGCCAGAUAUAUCUGCCACCUUUUUAGAGCGAGUGGUUAUUAAUAUCUUACUUCCACUAGAGCCACCCACUAAUAAUCUCUUUAAAUUCUGCCAUUUUUCUCUAUUCUCAUUCCACACAUCAUCUAGAACAAGCAGAUAUUUCUUCCCACUAAUAAUUUUUUCCAGUCUAGACUUCAAUGCUUCUAACCCAAGAUCUUCCGAUUUAUUCCCUGUUGCAGACUCUAGAAUCUUUCCAACAGUCAUUUUCACAUCAAAAGGUUCUGAAACACACACCCAUAUUCUUGGCUCAAAUGAAUUCUUAAUCAUUUCAUCAUUCAAUAUGAUUUGAGCAAGAGUGGUCUUCCCUAAUCCUCCAAUUCCAACAAUUGAGAGGACUGAAACACACUCUUCACCAUUGGAAGACAAUACAAGUUGUGUAAUUGCCUUUUUGUCACCCUCUCUCCCAAUAACCACUUCAGGUAAAGAGGACGUAGUUUGAUCCCUCCAUACAAUACUCUCCUGAUCAGUACGAACCUCUAAAUUAAAUUUUCUGUCAGCUUCAAUAUCAGCUAGCCUCUCCCUAAUCGCCUUAACUUUAUGACCCAUUUUAAAACCAUAAACAAGUUUAUUUGAAGACGAAAAGAAGAGACUUACCUCCUUUGUCAUUCUAUUUCCAGUCAUCACUCGGCGCCUUAGGGCUUCUGUGGCGAAGUCAUCUACCAAAUCAUCAGCAUCAUAAACCACUUCUUCUAGCCUCUCAAGCCAGCAUUUCACUUGACGGUUAAGUUUCUGCUGCUCCUCAGCAUCCAGAAGAACGUUGCGAAUACUAGAAACUGUGGCCUCAAGUUUCUUAAGCUCACCUUUGACGCCCCACCACAAUCCGAUCUCAUGAAGGGCUCGAGAACCCAGCUUGGUAAUGAUAUCUCCGACAACGUUAGAGAGAACUCCGUCGGNNNNNNNNNNNNNNNNNNNNNNNNNNNNNNNNNNNNNNNNNNNNNNNNNUUUAAAUAAAAAAAAAAAAAAAGAAGUGGAGGAAAAAGCGGUCCGUUAACUUUGGACGGCGCUGGUUUGCUUUAAUUUAAAAAGUAAAAUAUAUUAAUAAAUUUAUAUAUAGAAUGAAAGUUAGUUAUUUUUUAUAAAAUAAUUUUAUUUUUUAUUAAAUAAAUUUUAUGAGUGAUUUAAAUCGUUAAAAAAUAUAAAAUAUAUUUUUGAUGUUACUAAAAUUUUGUUAUUGAAAUGAAAGUAUUUUUAUAUAUUUUGUGAUGAUGUAUAAAGUUACAUUAGGUAUAAUAUGAUGUAUAGUAAAUUUAUUAUGAGUUUUAAUGACUUUAAAUCGAUUUAAAUUUUAAUAUUGAUAGCGGUUCAAUUUCUGAAUUAUUAUCGAAAUGUAUAGCAGGAGCUCAAGAGUAUCCUGUUGCAUAUUAUAGAUCCAUCGAUAUAAAAAAUAUGGCAUAUGCACACAUUCAGGAUUUAGAGAUUCCUUCAGCUAGUGGCAGAUAUUGUUUAAUUAAAAGAGAUGUCCACUUCUCUGAGGUUUUGAAGAUUGUGUCAGCAACAUUAUCCUACAUUGCACCUUCCAAAAAACUAUGGUUUUUUUUAUAUUUUUGCAUGCUCAUGUUGGACCAGCUAUAUGAAUGGCUAAGAUAUAUAAUUAUUUGGAUAACUGAGAAAUAGUUAUUUUGAAUGAUUAAUUUGAUCAUGGAAUAUAAUCUGAGUUGCAGAUGUGGCUCUGAAUUGAAUUACUUAACAAAGUAUGAGGUAUCAAAGAAAAAAGCGAAAACUUUGGAUAUUGAUUUCAUUCCUUUGGAGGUUAGUUGAAGGACACUAUUGAAAGCUUGAAGGAGAAGAGCCUCCUCAGCAUUUGAUUUUGGCUGUCGGAUAAAAAGCAAUGCAAAUAUUACAUUGGCCUUUCAGGUUCAUUGGCUUUAGCUUUCUAUUGGUGUAAGGUAUUAUUGCCCUUCAGAAUUGUCUUUAUUUAAAAAAAGUGAACCCAUACAAUUUGUAAAAUAUAUUAAAAUUUGUAUACAGCUGUAUAUAAACAUAUUACAUGUGUCGCUUGUUUCUGGUAGAUAAAGUUCAUUUCAGGUCUGAUUUCUGAGGAAGUUGCUCUUUUUUUUUAUCUGAUUUCAAGUCUCAUUCCAAAGAAGAAGACACAAGAAAAAGAAAAUGUGUAAUCCACCAAUUCAGAUUUAGUUCAGUCUUUUCAAAGUAUAUUCAGAUUUCAUAGCCAAUUCAUUUAAUGCUGUAUCUGAUUUCUGGUUCUUGUGAUACGCUCUUACAAAAUUCAUUUAAAAUUCAGUACUCUUACACAUUUUGGAAACACAAUUUAUACAAAAACUGAUUUCUCAGGAAAAAAAAGGAAAAUAAUGUUAUUUGCAUUGAAUGAACAAAUGAUUAGCAUAGUAGCAAAACUACUUAAAAUAAGAGAAAUUAGAAACCAAAAAGCAGCACAGCAUGAGUCUGGGCAUUGCAUGUUGGAUGAUCGAAACAGAGGUCUUGAGUGCGAAUCUAGAUCCUGAAAUACGCAGGCCUGCAAAAAGUCAUUCGAAGAAGUGUGCAAAACUCCCAUCAUUCAGCUUUCUUUCUGCUUCCCGCUCAGCAGGAUUACUAUGUACUGAGACAGAUAGGAAACUUAUCCCGGUGAGUUUUUAUUCCGGGAUGUCAAGGGCACAAUGCGCAGCUUAGUGAAUCUCCAUCAUCUUUGCCACAGGUGUAAGUUAUGAAGAUAGUUGCUAGAUGGAGGAUUUUCACACUAGUGAUUAAGCAUCUGUUUCAAGCCAGAAUCAUCAUUAAAUCACAGAUUUGCUUUACAAGCAAUAACUAGAGGGAUUUCAUAUUACAAGUAGAGUCUUUAUAACCUACUGAAUCGCUUAUUUACGAAGACAGAAGAAUAGGAGAGCUCACGUUUUGUUUUUACUGCACAAAUACUGCAUAUGGAAUCUGAGUGAGAAGUUACUCCCUAAAAAUUUCAAAAGUGUUUUUGAGAGGUACCUUUGAGCGAAUCUUCUGGCAACAGACUCAAAGAAGUCAUCCAAUAAGUAGAAAUUCUUCUAUGGAAGGCCACACACAUUAAUAGCAGUUCUUUCAAGGCGAAUUAUGCCAAGCCAAUCAAGGAAUUGCUGCCAUGGCAUGUAGUUGUGGUUUCUUAAUGUGUUCGAGUAACUUCUGCACAAGGAAUCAAAUUAAUCUUUAAAUCCGUGAAAUUAAAAGGGAUGCAGAAUUACAAAACUAAUAAUAAGAACAAUAAUAAUAAGAUGGAUAGAAGCAUGACCUGCCAAUGCAUGAUUUCGGCAAGCCUUUGCUUUGGUUCACCACUUCCCAAUGUAGUAAGAAUUUCAACAGCAUCCCAGAAUUUCAAUAGCAUCCCAAUGAUAACUCAUACUUGAUGAGCCUUGAUGGAGAAAUGAAAGUCCAGUUAAAAUUAUUCAAAAUGCAUAUCCACUCGCCAAGAACAUAUGCACCCAGAAAUCUCCUUAAAUAAAUAAGGUUUUAACAAGGUGAAUGCUUUGCUUUUUCUUUUUUUGGGAAGAACUUCAAAGUAAACAAAGGUAAGACUAUUGGGUUUUGAUGUUUACCUUGUGUGGGAGAAAUGUG